AUUGAACGCUGGCGGCAUGCCUUACACAUGCAAGUCGAACGGCAGCGGGCCUUCGGGUGCCGGCGAGUGGCGAACGGGUGAGUAAUGCAUCGGAACGUGCCAUUGAGUGGGGGAUAACGUAGCGAAAGUUGCGCUAAUACCGCAUAUUCUGUGAGCAGGAAAGCAGGGGACCGCAAGGCCUUGCGCUCUUUGAGCGGCCGAUGUCAGAUUAGCUAGUUGGUGAGGUAAAGGCUUACCAAGGCGACGAUCUGUAGCGGGUCUGAGAGGAUGAUCCGCCACACUGGAACUGAGACACGGUCCAGACUCCUACGGGAGGCAGCAGUGGGGAAUUUUGGACAAUGGGGGCAACCCUGAUCCAGCCAUGCCGCGUGAGUGAAGAAGGCCUUCGGGUUGUAAAAGGUCUCUUUCGGGUCCGGGAAGGAAAGUCGCGAUGGGUGAAGUACCCUGUGUGGAU
rnacentral:rRNA from 1 species